CUUUCUUUUAUUUCUCUUUGUUCACAUAUUCUAAAAAUAUUUCAUCAAUGGCAUCUAUCAAAUCAGUUAAAGUUCCUACUAUAGAUUUUUCCAAUUAUCAAGAGCUAAAACCAAACACUCCACUAUGGGAAUCCACAAAAAUUCAAGUUUUUGAAGCUUUUCAAGAAUAUGGUUGUUUUGAAGCAAUAUAUGAUAAAGUUCCAAAUGAAAUUAGAGAGGAAACAUUUGAUAUGUCAAAAGAAAUAUUUGAAUUUCCUUUAGAUACUAAAGUGAAAAAUAUUUCAGAAAAACCAAUGCAUGGAUAUAUGGGAAUGAUUCCACAAUUGCCAUUGUAUGAGAGUUUGUGUAUUCCUGAUUUGCUUAAUCCUCAAAGUCUUCAAAAUUUUGCUAAUAUCUUUUGGCCUCAGGGUAAUCAACAUUUCUGCAAUUUGGUAAAGUCUUAUUCUAAUCCACUUGUGGAAUUGGAUGAGAUUUUGAAAAGGAUGAUUUCGGAGAAUUUGAGAUUAAAAAUUCACAUUGAUGAAUUGUUGAAUGCCAAUUAUUUCCUAUUUAGAUUUACACAUUACAAGGGAUCAUCAAUUACUGGUGGAGAUGAGAAUAACAAAGUUGCUGGAUUGGGUGGCCACACAGAUGGUAACUUCUUGACUUUUAUAUCGCAAAAUCAAGUCAAUGGAUUGCAAAUCAACAAAAAUGGAGAAUGGAUUGAUGUGAAUAUUUCACCAAAUUCUUAUGUUGUUUUGGCUGGUGAUUCCUUCAAAGCUUGGACAAAUGGUCGAUUGCAUUCUCCUCUUCACAGAGUAACAAUGUCCGGAGAAAAUGAUAGACUCUCCAUUCAAUUAUUUUCAUUAUCAAAACCAGGUCACUUCAUCGAGGCACCAAAAGAACUAGUGGAUGAAGAACACCCUUUACUCUUCAAGCCAUUUGAAAUUAUUGGAUUAUUUGAGUAUGGUACCACAGAAGCUGGCUAUACAGCUCCUCCAAGUGAUCUUCUCAAGAGUUAUUGCGGUGUUUGAUAUGCUAAUUGCGAAUUUCCGCUUCAGCAACCAACUUUUCUAAUAAGUUUCGUCUGAAAUUCGUGUUGUUUUAAUUAUUAUGCAUUUUAUGUUUGAAUUGUUGCAGUUGGCAAUUCAUGUUUAAUUUGUUUUUGUUUUUUUGAGAAAAUAUUUCCAAUGGGUUUCGUUGGAAAUUCGUCUUGUUUUUUUUUUUCAAGUAGUGUACAUCUUAUUUUUGGAUUGUUGAUGUUGAGCGCUAAUGUUUAAUUUGUUUGUGUUUUGAAGAGGAUGAUUAUACUCUUUAAGAGGAUUCACCGUAAUCUUUUAGUAUUAUUUGGUUUUAGAAAAGUAUAUCAUAUGAACAUUUUAUAUUAAAUUGAACUUAAGUCAU
rnacentral:misc_RNA from 1 species